UAAAUCCUAAACCCUAAACCCUAAACCCUAAACCCUAAACACUAAACU
rnacentral:sRNA from 1 species